rnacentral:tRNA from 1 species
GUAGAGGUGGCUCAGUGGCUAAGAGUACUGGCUAUUCUCCCAGAGGAUCUGGGUUAGAUUCCCAGCACCCACA